CAUGAGAAAGUUGAAUGUCCCACACACAUCAGACAAUUUCGUGUCUGAUGGCCGGGCGGAGGGAGGAAGUGUUAAGAAGCGCUACCAGACUUAUCAGCAUCAUUGCCGACGCUGCUAAUGCUAAAGCUUGCUUACUGAUGGCAUUCUCCUGAGUCUCUUGUGUGAGUCUGUGCACUUCACGAGAGGACUUGUGCAGGUCUUCCACCACCCCAGCCAGCACCUGCUCCACUGCUUCCUUGUACUCCACCUGACAGACAGAACAAGGCUGUCAUUGAAAACUUUUACUCUCCAUUACAAGUUAGAUGCCCUUGUCAGGGAAGUACUGCUUCCAGACAAGGUGGUCGCCCUGCACCUCAAACACCUCAACAUUGUCGUCCUCGCUGGCCACCGCCUCACACAGCUGCCCCAAGUAUUCCUCCGCUGACUUGCCCAGUUUGACACGC
rnacentral:lncRNA from 1 species